rnacentral:rRNA from 1 species
GUAGGGAAUCUUGCGCAAUGGGCGAAAGCCUGACGCAGCCAUGCCGCGUGAAUGAUGAAGGUCUUAGGAUUGUAAAAUUCUUUCACCGGGGACGAUAAUGACGGUACCCGGAGAAGAAGCCCCGGCUAACUUCGUGCCAGCAGCCGCGGUAAUACGAAGGGGGCUAGCGUUGCUCGGAAUUACUGGGCGUAAAGGGCGCGUAGGCGGACAGCUUAGUCAGAGGAGAAAGCCCAGGGCUCAACCUUGGAAUUGCCUUUGAUACUGGCUGUCUUGAGUUUGGGAGAGGUGAGUGGAACUCCGAGUGUAGAGGUGAAAUUCGUAGAUAUUCGGAAGAACACCAGUGGCGAAGGCGACUCACUGGCCCAAUACUGACGCUGAGGCGCGAAAGCGUGGGGAGCAAACAGGAUUAGAAACCCGUGUAGUCC